AGUUUUAUAACAUAACCUGAAGCACACCUCCCGAGAAACACCAUCAUUUUCUUGCGUGCAUUUGUGACUAUUUCCCCCAAGUUUGUACAAAGAAGCAAAAAACUAUAGGGAAAAUUUACACUUGACCACAGCAAAGAGUAGGACCCAGGAAGGAAAAAUGUCCCAGUAUGUAAAACACUCUGCAGACUGGCAGACACGCCCAAACUUCCUGUAACAACCGGGAAAGCUUGUUGCCCUGGUUUCAUUUACAAGAGCAACUGCUAAGGAGACUGCACUCACACAAACAUACAGAUUAGACAAAACAGCAGCGGACCUGCACAGAGAUCCCUCCCUGUUUAUCUGAAGCUAACAUGAGGAUUCAGCAGAGGCAGAAAAGUUAGUUACAAAUUAGGAUCUUAAGAGUGGAUCUUAAUGGACGGAUGGCAGAAGUGACUCACUCUCUGUUACCACCUUUCAGGCAGUAUGUUACUGCAGUGGUAACAGUGGUAACAGUAUGUUACCACUGUUUGGGAAAACAGGAGAAUUUCAGAUUUGCAAUCAUAAUUAUUAGAUGCAUCACAGAUCACAAAAAAAACAUGUAAAAGACUGAGAAUGUAAAGAACACAUGAACAAAGAAACCACUAACUUCUCAAACAUCUCUACAGGAUGAUGAAGAUGUCAGGAAGGAUCAUGAGUUGCUGUGUGGCUCUGCUCCUGACCUUUACAAUGGUUUCAGCUGUCCGACGUGAGCUCAGAUCAAUCAAUGAUCUGGAUAUGGACAGCCGUGAAUUGCUCCUCUGGUUUGCCAAUGAAAUUGACAUUGACACAAAUGGUGUCAUUCGGCUGACCUUCGGUGGUGAUUAUGGCUCACAUCGUUAUUACAACAGUGAGAGGCUGUUAGAUCCACUGCCGUGGGGAUAUCAGUACUACACCCUCGGUAACGUCAAUCAACGGACAUCACACCAAGUUCCAUCUCAAGGAAGAAACAAGGCUCGAAUCAUUAUUAGGAUCAGGGAGCAGAACGCGGGGCGCCAAUCACAGAUAAUAGACCAAGUCUAUAUCACAAUGCAUUAUCGUGAGUUUGACUAUCAAAGGUCAGAGUAUGAUCCAGAUCAAACAUACCAGAUCACUACCAGCCUCUUAAGAGAGAUCAGAGGGUUUCCGAUGGCUAUACAUGACAACCCACACAUGUAUCAUGCAAAUAAUUUUAGAAGUGCAAAUACUUCCCAGUUAUGGGGCACUAGAAUGCAGGCUGCAACACGAAGAAAUGAGCAACGUGAUUUUUGGGCCAACGAAAAUUGUGUUCCCAACUGGUUCUCUUCUUUGGUUGUAUUUGUUUUGUUCAUUGUCCUUUUGUCCAUUGUCAUUUUCGUCAUUCACAAAUCUAAAAUGAGUAACUAACAUGACCAGUAAACAUGUUCCCCGAUAUUGGCUAAACCAAACUGCUGUAACUUAAAUUAUGCUAAAAACCAGAAAGCCAGCAGCAUCUUUACUGUGACUGGGAACAUUACAUGACAAUUGUACAAUCUGAGACCAUGUGUUAAUUUUUUUACUGUGUGUUUAUUUUACUAUAGAUUAUGAGUUUAUUUUGUAAGUGUUGUAAAUGUUGACUCAUGUCUAAUCUAACAGCAGUGACUCUCAGCAGAAUCGUCCAAUGAGGAGAACGGACACCUGUUCUGAUGGAUGAAUGACAGAGAGAGUGAAGAGUGAUUGUUUUGUAUUCUCUCUGUAAUCUUGAAAACUGUGUGUUCAUUAAACUUUAUUUUCAAGCA